GUCUAUGACUAUACCACCCUGAACGCGCGUGAUCCUGUCUGAAGCUAAGCAGGGUCAGGCCUUGUUAUUACUCGGAUGGGAGAAAUUGCAACGGUUUUAGGAG
rnacentral:rRNA from 1 species